ACCACCGACACACAAACAUAAUCAGUUAAUCACACACAGUCACUCUCACUGUCUCAGUCUCAAAUCAACGUAAGCCUUGUCUGCUUUGUAAGAUUGAGCCCUCAAAUUUGCGUAUUUGACCAGUGAAAAUAAUUGAUCCCCACUUGGUUUCAUCGUUUUUUGACGAUUAUAAGAGGGGGUGUAUUUGCAUGCUACAACAGAGUUAGAAAAUAGACAUGCCUGGGUUGCUGAGUGUUCUUUGAAUAUCCAAGUAACAACGGGAGUUGAGUGAAACAUUUGUUUAAUUAGUAGGGCAUCUUCAGACCAACACUUGUCAUUCCCUACUGGAUCACAUGUGCAAUAUACAUUUCCUGAGCUUUUCUUCUACAAUCCUGACUUAGGGUGGCUGAACGGUAUGGGAAAACAGUCCUUGUACAAUGUUCGUGUUAUUGUUGCUGUAAAGGGAUAUGGAGAAUUUGAUGCUUGGAGCCAUCUAUUUGGCUUCCGAAAAAUUGAGAGCUAUAUUGAUAGGGCCAUAGGUGGAAGGUAUUGCUUUAUAUGCCUUCUAGAACAUUUUACUUAGGUUUUUGUUUUGAUAUUAUGAUAUGUAGUCUAUAAAUUUUUUAUUUAAAGGUUGUUCAAGGUCAACGGACAACCUUUCAUUAUCUGUGGUGGUAAUUGGAUAUUGUCAAAUGGGUUACUAUGUCUUUCAAGGGAAUGUUACAAAACAGACAUCAAGUUUCAUGACGAUAUGCAUUUUAAUAUGACUCACAGUUGGGGUGGUGGAUUGGUUGAGAGGACAGAAUUCUAUCAUUAUUGUGAUAUUUAUGGACUUUUUUGGUGAUAUCUCUCUGUCUCUCUCUCUCCCCCCUAUGUGUGUGUGUGAUCAAUUAUAGAGGGUGUAUAGAAAUAGAAAUAUAGAACAAACAACCACACAGAGAACAUAGAGAUAGAGACUUACAAGGUUCAGAUUUAGUCAUAUGUCCAAAGGCAGACAUUGAGAAGAAAAAUUUACUCGCAAACGUGACUACAAUAGUUGCACAAAACUAAACCCCAUAUACACCCAAUGAGCUCUUUCUUACUAAUAACAAAGAUUAUGGCUACAAAGUUUGUUUGGUGACUUUUUGUGGAGAUUAACCAACCAAUAGGACUAGGCAGUACUAUUUGCUUUCUCGUACACAACAAGAAGAUGAAAAACAAACCAUACCAAAGUCAGCAACUGUUCAUAGUGCACAUGUAAGGGUUGAGUUCCACAUUGAGAGAAAAAGUAAGGCAAGUGAGAAGUUGAUGGACAUAGUUGGGUCUAAACCAUUUGGCUUAAGCUGUUUGAGUGGUACCCCAAUAUAUAUCAGUUGGUACAUCAAUAUGUAUCUAUAGGCUCUUGUUGGACCCUAGGGACACUUUUGAACCCAAAAAAUUGGUGUUAGAGUUAUGGUUCAACUUUAAUUUGGUUCGAAAUUUUCUAUCAAAAAUUUUUUUUUUUUUUUUGAAUGAGUAUCUUGGUGUUGAUGUGGUUGGUGUGAAUUUGGUUAUUGCUGCAUUUAAUGCAACUCUUGUAUGCACAAUCUGGAUUUGCUAAUGACUCACACACAGUGGGAAGCUAGGUUGAUGUGGUAGAGGCUUAUAUGGGAGGGAGAGGUCUAUUGUGAGUGCAUGUGUGAGGGUUGAGUCCCAUAUAGAGAAAAAGUAAAGAAAAUGAAGAGUUGAUAUAUAUAGUUGGGUGCAAACCUAUUGGAUGAAGCUUUUGAGAUAGAAUGAUGUCCCUAUAUGUAUAUCAAUGGGAGGUUGGUGGGUUAGUAAAAUUGGGACAAAUCCUGGAACAUCAAAGAUUUUAGAUUCACCAAAAUUUGUAUGCUUUAUAGUAAGGGUAUUGUCACGGGAUGAUUGCAGCGUAAGAUGCUGGGAAUGCCAAGAAAGUGUUGUAGAGUAAGUUUUAUAAUUGAAAAAAGCUUGUUAAAUUACAAAUUCUCCCAAAAGCUUAAACUAUUAGGAUAUGGGAAAUUUAAUCACUUAAUCACAUACUUCUAACACACUCAUGUGUGGGCUCAAACUCCCUUUUAUAAGUUGAGGCCCAACAAAUGAGAUUUUAAAUGGAAGGUUGAGUGGAGGAGCAGGGAUCAAACUCAAAACCUUCUGCUCUGAUACCAAGUUAAAUUAUUGAUUCUCCCAAAAGCUAAAGUUAUUGGGAUAUGGUAAAUUUAAUCAUUUAACCACAUACUUCCAACAAAGCUAACAACUAUAAUCUGCAGUACUUUCCCAUUAAUGAUGGUGUUCUUGUAACCAUAUAAAUUGAUGAUAUGUUAAUCACUGAAAUUAGUCCCAUUAUGAAAGUUACCAUAAAUUGUGGCAUUGUUGAUUUUAUAAUGCUUUUGAAACUUAUUAGGGUAUUUAUAUUCUUUGACCUAAAUUGUCCAUAGAUCUUUUACCUUCAACUGUAGAGUACUAACAUAGUGGCAAUAGUGUGUCACAAGAAAAAUUUAUUUCCUUUCUUUUAAUUGUCAAAAUUUGAUUUUAAAACAAGCAUAACUGAUAUUACAAGAACAAGUUAAUACAUGAGCAAGCCUAUGCUUGUGAGAAAAUUCUUUAUUUUCUUCGGUACAACUCAGCACUUCUUGAUUUCUAAUUUCUCAGGUCAGCUGCAUGGAUUAUUACUACCAUCAUUAUCAUUUGACCUUGAUCUCUAUUUCAGGCUAUACACUCUAGUUAGAAUUUUUCUUUUACUUUUCUGACUGCCUCUGCCUUAGACCUAAUAUAUUUCUAGCCCCCUCUUGUUCUCAAAUGCUUUGAAAUAUAAAUAAAGAAGUCCUUACUAUUCAGCUAAGUGGUUUUUUUUUUACAUAAUUAAAAAUUGACUUAAUCAAAUUGUCUAUAUCUUCUCCUCAAAGCUACGUCUAGAUUUUAGUGAAUACAUUUAUUUUGUAUUCUAUCUUUUAUUGCCAUUAUUAAUGAUUUUACUUAAUUACUUAGGAUAAUGGCUUUGUUGAGUUCAGUUUUAUUUUUUAAUUGCCAUUAACCUAUUUCAGCAUCACUUUUUUCAAAAAGUUAUUUGACAUUGUUUGCUAUUUGGUAUAUUGCAGUAGGAGCAUUUGGUUCUUUAAAUUUUGGUACACUUGGUUAUUUAGUAACUGAAGUUUUAAAAUGUUCCUACCAGAGUGAAUUCUGCAUUGCAUUAUUUUGAACGAUUUGUUCUCCAAAGACCCAAGCCUGUCUACGGGGUCAAAUAUGGUUCAAGGCUAACCAAACCUAAGGAUUCCAAUAUUUUUAAGUUAUUUCAGUAUUAAGUUACUCUAGUAUAACU